ACUACAACCACCACAACUACCAGUACCACAACCACGACUACUACAACCACCACAACUAGUACCACAACAGCGUCUCCUGAGAGUGAAGGAGACCAGUACCAGCUUAAAGGACGAUAUGAUGGCAAGGUGCUGGAGAAGACUUACCUGGUUCCUGAUGCAGCCUCUUCCUCGUCCUCGUCCUCGUCGCCUCCGUCGUGGCAACAUACGACUCACCCCCCCGGAGCAGCCUCCCCCACUGAUGCCGCCCCCCACCGCUACGUGCAGGAGCCGGCCCCGCCCGUCGACCCCAGACCCCGCCCACUCUACCCCGAUGCGGCGAGCACGUCUGCUGGGGAGCCUCGGGCCCUCAGCCGCGUGUCCUGCCUCCUCCCCUGCUUGCUGCACCUCCUGGAUCUGCUUCCCUGUCUGCUGCUUCUCAUCCACUAGUCACCUGCUGCCUUUACUGUUCUGCAGGCCGCGCUCUCACCAUUUAUAUCCUGCAUACUGCUUCAGUCUCGUAACGUUUUAUUUUUCUCACCACAUGCUGAUAUCCAAGCAGUCCCUGGAUCAUACUGCUAGCAGCAGCUGUAGCAGCUAUUAAAGAGGCAACAGUAUGAACAGCAUCAGACAACACUGGAAGAAAUCACGACCCAUGUUUGGCUUAGAUCUCGUCUAAGUUGUUUCUUUCGCAAGCUGAGGCGCAAAGCACUGAACAACCUGCUGUGCCUCCAGCUAAAGAAGGGCAAAGUUACUCGUCUGUUUUUCAACUGAUAAUGGUACUGUCUCCUAUGUGACAUAAUUCCCUUUUCCUUUAUCACGUGAUGCAAGUGAGUGUAAAUCAGAAAACAAAACAUAUAAACUAUUUAAGGAAACUAUUUAUCUAUUUAUAUAUAUAUAUAUAUAUAUAUACACACACAAUUGCUGGAUCCCUACAGGUGCAAUUGUAGGGACCCAUAGCGUCGGAGAAGAAAAUAAAGAGUAUUCAGAGUAAAACUCGACGUUUGACUAAAUACGUAUGAGUAUUCGCUUCAUCUACCACCCCCUUUUUUAUUAUUUAUAUUGUACACUUUAUUAUACAAUGCUACGCAGUUACAUUACUGAAUGGUUACAAAAUGUGAACAAUAAGAGGAAAUAAAGGGAACCUUGUUUCCUAGAGACUGUAAAGUUUUUCAAAGUUCUCCGGCGCCGGGCAGGAACAGAGGAUGUAGCAGGCAUUCCCCCUCUGGAUCGCUACACUGAGGCGCUGGAAGAGAAAGGUCGCUGCUCCAGGGUCUCUUGUUAUACAUAUAUAUAUA